UUCCUCUGUACAUUCCACAGUUCCCUACCCAGUGUCUUGUGGAGAGCAUGCGCCCAGUAAGGACCCAUAACAUUUCUCCUGAUUAAAGCUGCUGAAGCCGAACUGAUCUAAACCUCAUGUUCUCUGGAGAGCAGGAAGUGAACAAUAGCCCGAGUGCAGUCCUGAUGGGGACAGAGAAAUAAAAGAUCCUUGAGGAAGGCCGCCAGUUUAUAAACUAUCCUCAUGGAGAGCAAGAUGAGGUCUUAAGAAGAUCUCUGCUUUUAUCUGUGUGGGGAAUGACAAAGAUCUCCUUCUCUCAAUGCACAUCUGUCCCUUCUGUGCACCUUAGUCUCAGAGAUGUGCCCAGGGAAUUGAGAAGGUGGGAAAUGUUUCCAGCACCUCAGAGCCACUAGGUGUUGGAACUUGAACCUGGGUCUCCAACACUCUUCUCUGUUGUAGGUGAAUCCUUUGAGAACAGUGCUGAGCACAGGACUUUCCUGCUCCCCACUCAGGAAACCCCAACUCCUUAACCUGGCUUUUAAGAUAGGCCUUCCACGUCUGGUCACAAAUUAUUGAUCACAUAUUAGCUCAUGUUAUUUUGAGGUUUUCUCUUUCAGGUAUUCUAGACUAAAUACUGAGCUGCUUGUCAUUUCUUGAA